AUAGAAAGGAGCAAACAGGAUGACCUCAUCACCAGGAUUUAUCAAACCCAACAUGGUGGCAGCAAUUGCUUCAGUACAGCCUGAAGUCACAGUGACUUCCUUUUCGGGGUCAACAUCAAGACCACUGUCUUUCUUGAAUCUAGCAGCCACAGCAGAGUUGAGGUCUGGGACUCCAUAUCCUCGAGCAUACUGAUUUUUACCUUCCUUAAUAGAUUGAAUAGCCGCUUCUUUAACAAAAUCCGGGCCGUCAAAGUUGGGGAAGCCCUGGCCGAGGUUGAUAGCUCCAUGCUUGAUGGCUAGCAUGCUCAUCUGGGUGAAAAUUGUAGUUUUGAACUUCUCUAGGCGCUUGGCAACCUGAAUAGGCUUAGGAAGUAUGUGGGUUGACUUAUCUUGAGUAGAAACAGCGACAUCAUUCUGGGUUGAAGCGGUGGCCAUUGUAGAAGAGUAUUUUGUGGGAAAAUUGCGAAGAAUGUAGGGUUUAAAGCUCUUCAAUGGCUGCUGAAGCAUUUGACUGGAAUAUUGAGGCGUCCAGGUACAUCGAAUUGCUUUACAGAUUCGCAUCCGUAUUUAUUGGUAAGUGGUAGAUAGAUA
rnacentral:misc_RNA from 1 species